GUGGUCUCAUGUCUAGUAUAAGCAUUAUACAGCGAAACUGCGAAUGGCUCAUUAUAUAAGUUAUCGUUUAUUUGAUAGUACCUUACUACUUGGAUAACCGUGGUAAUUCUAGAGCUAAUACAUGCUAAAAAUCCCGACUUCGGAAGGGAUGUAUUUAUUAGAUUAAAAACCAAUGCCCUUCGGGGCUCACUGGUGAUUCAUGAUAACUCCUCGAAUCGCAUGGCCUUGUGCCGGCGAUGGUUCAUUCAAAUUUCUUCCCUAUCAACUUUCGAUGUUUGGGUAUUGGCCAAACAUGGUUGCAACGGGUAACGGAGGGUUAGGGCUCGACCCCGGAGAAGGAGCCUGAGAAACGGCUACUACAUCCAAGGAAGGCAGCAGGCGCGCAAAUUACCCAAUCCCGACACGGGGAGGUAGUGACAAUAAAUACUGAUACAGGGCUCUUUUGGGUCUUGUAAUUGGAAUGAGUACAAUUUAAAUCCCUUAACGAGGAACAAUUGGAGGGCAAGUCUGGUGCCAGCAGCCGCGGUAAUUCCAGCUCCAAUAGCGUAUAUUAAAGUUGUUGUGGUUAAAAAGCUCGUAGUUGAACCUUGGGCCUGGCUGGCCGGUCCGCCUCACCGCGUGUACUGGUCCGGCCGGGCCUUUCCCUCUGUGGAACCCCAUGCCCUUCACUGGGUGUGGCGGGGAAACAGGACUUUUACUGUGAAAAAAUUAGAGUGCUCCAGGCAGGCCUAUGCUCGAAUACAUUAGCAUGGAAUAAUAGAAUAGGACGUGUGGUUCUAUUUUGUUGGUUUCUAGGACCGCCGUAAUGAUUAAUAGGGACAGUCGGGGGCAUCAGUAUUCAAUUGUCAGAGGUGAAAUUCUUGGAUUUAUUGAAGACUAACUACUGCGAAAGCAUUUGCCAAGGAUGUUUUCAUUAAUCAGGAACGAAAGUUAGGGGAUCGAAGACGAUCAGAUACCGUCGUAGUCUUAACCAUAAACUAUGCCGACUAGGGAUCGGAAGGGUGUUAUUUUUUGACCCGUUCGGCACCUUACAAGAAAUCAAAGUGUUGGGCUCCCGGGGGGAAUAUGGUCGCAAGGCUGAAACUUAAGAAAUUGACGGAGGGCCCCCCCCGGGGGUGGAGCCCGCGGGUUAAUUUGACCCAACCGGGGAAACUCCCCGGCCCAACCCAUGGGGUUGGCAGAAUUGGAAACCUUUUUUGUUUUUUUGGGGGGGGGGGGGGGGGCCCCCUCUUUUUGGGGGGGGAG
rnacentral:rRNA from 1 species